rnacentral:rRNA from 1 species
AGUGAACGCUGGCGGUAUGCCUAACACAUGCAAGUCGAACGGCAGCACAGUAAGAGCUUGCUCUUACGGGUGGCGAGUGGCGGACGGGUGAGGAAUACAUCGGAAUCUACUUUUUCGUGGGGGAUAACGUAGGGAAACUUACGCUAAUACCGCAUACGACCUACGGGUGAAAGCAGUGGAUCUUCGGACCUUGCGCGAUUGAAUGAGCCGAUGUCGGAUUAGCUAGUUGGCGGGGUAAAGGCCCACCAAGGCGACGAUCCGUAGCUGGUCUGAGAGGAUGAUCAGCCACACUGGAACUGAGACACGGUCCAGACUCCUACGGGAGGCAGCAGUGGGGAAUAUUGGACAAUGGGCGCAAGCCUGAUCCAGCCAUACCGCGUGGGUGAAGAAGGCCUUCGGGUUGUAAAGCCCUUUUGUUGGGAAAGAAAAGCAGCAGGUUAAUACCCCGCUGUUCUGACGGUACCCAAAGAAUAAGCACCGGCUAACUUCGUG